rnacentral:lncRNA from 13 species
UUUUCAUCAUCUCCAGUAAGGAUCGAGCCCCGCUGCCGCUACCGAUUUGGGAAAUACCUGUUUUCCCCCCUUUGCACAUAAAGGCUAUCCUAGCCCUGAGUCUGGCUAGUAAGGACGCGUGAGUGAGCUUUGAAAGUGGGUCUCGGCCGGGAGCGGUGGCUCACGCCUGUAAUCCAGCUCUUUGGGAGGCCGACCCUGCAGUAUCAUUUCUGCCUCUGGUGCCCACUACAUUUGGGUUAGUUUGCGGCUUGUUCUAGGCUGCUCUUCCAGAUAACGUUUAUUUAUAACUACAUAGAGACUUUGGAGUGUCACGACAGUUCCGUAUCAGGAGUGAAUUGAAGAAGAGAAGCAGUGGGCAGUGGAACAUCUUUCAUCCAAGGGGUUCAAAGAACUCAGCAAUUAUGACUCAUUGUUCCUUAAAAUACCUUUAUAAAACUGGAGGUGACAAGCAUUGAGGUAAACUUGUUACAGGACUUUCCAGAUUAAGUGAUUCCUGGCAAAGAAACAAAAGCAAAAUUGUCCUGUUCCCCAGUGGAUAUGGAUUCAAACUGGAAAUAAAAUCAGGUACAACUCCA